GACGAACGCUGGCGGCGUGCUUAACACAUGCAAGUCGAACGAAGUGGCGAACGGGUGAGUAACGCGUAAGCAACUUGGCCUUCAGAGGGGGACAACAGUUGGAAACGACUGCUAAUACCGCAUACGGAAGGAGGGGAAGGCGUGUGAUUAGCAAGUUGGAGGGGUAACGGCCCACCAAGGCGAUUAUCAGUAGCCGGUCUGAGAGGAUGAACGGCCACAUUGGGACUGAGACACGGCCCAGACUCCUACGGGAGGCAGCAGUGGGGAAUCUUCCGCAAUGGACGAAAGUCUGACGGAGCAACGCCGCGUGAGUGAUGACGGCCUUCGGGUUGUAAAGCUCUGUUAAUCGGGACGCGGUACCGGAAUAGAAAGCCACGGCUAACUACGUGCCUGCAGCCGCGGUAAUUC
rnacentral:rRNA from 1 species